rnacentral:rRNA from 1 species
AUUGAACGCUGGCGGCAGGCCUAACACAUGCAAGUCGAACGAGUGGCGGACGGGUGCGUAAUGUCUGGGAAACUGCCCGAUGGAGGGGGAUAAAUACUGGAAACGGUAGCUAAUACCGCAUAACAUCGUAUGUGCCCAGAUGGGAUUAGCUAGUAGGUGGGGUAACGGCUCACCUAGGAGACGAUCCCUCGCUGGUCUGAGAGGAUGACCAGACACACUGUAACUGAGAUACGGUCCAGAGUCCUACGGGAGGCAGCAGUGGGGAAUAGUGCACAAUGGGCGCAAGCCUGAUGCAGCCAUGCCGCGUGUAUGAAGAAGGCCUUCGGGUUGUAAAGUACUUUCAGCGGGGAGGCGUUACCCGCAGAAGAAGCACCGGCUAACUCCGGGCGAGCAGCCGCGGUAAUUC